GGCUCAGGACGAACGCUGGCGGCGCGCCUAACACAUGCAAGUCGAACGGAGCUGACAUUGACAGCGACUUCGGUCAAAGGGAUUUAUCAGCUUAGUGGCGAACGGGUGAGUAACGCGUGAGUAACCUGCCUCAGAGAGGGGGACAACAGUUGGAAACGACUGCUAAUACCGCAUAAGCCCACACUGCCGCAUGGCAGAGUGAGAAAAGGGAAUAACCGCUUUGAGAUGGACUCGCGUCUGAUUAGCCAGUUGGCGGGUAACGGCCCACCAAGCGACGAUCAGUAGCCGGACUGAGAGGUUGAUCGGCCACAUUGGGACUGAGACACGGCCCAGACUCCGUACGGGAGGCAGCAGGUGGGGAAUAUUGCACAAGUGGGGAACCCUGAUGCAGCGACGCCGCGUGGAGGAAGAAGGUAUUCGUAUUGUAAACUCCUGUCGUGUGGGACGAAGAAUGACGGUACCACACAAGAAAGCACCGGCUAACUACGUGCC
rnacentral:rRNA from 1 species